rnacentral:rRNA from 1 species
UACGUAGGGUGCGAGCGUUGUCCGGAAUUAUUGGGCGUAAAGGGCUCGUAGGCGGUUUGUCGCGUCGGGAGUGAAAACCAGGUGCUUAACACCUGGCUUGCUUUCGAUACGGGCAGACUAGAGGUAUUCAGGGGAGAACGGGAAUUCCUGGUGUAGCGGUGAAAUGCGCAGAAUAUCAGGAGGAACACCGGUGGCGAAGGCGGAU